rnacentral:rRNA from 1 species
UACGUAGGGUGCAAGCGUUAAUCGGAAUUACUGGGCGUAAAGCGUGCGCAGGCGGUUAUGUAAGACAGGUGUGAAAUCCCCGGGCUAACCUGGGAAUUGCAUUUGUGACUGCAUGGCUAGAGUGUGUCAGAGGGGGGGUAGAAUUCCACGUGUAGCAGUGAAAUGCGUAGAUAUGUGGAGGAAUACCGAUGGCGAAGGCAGCCCC